rnacentral:rRNA from 1 species
CAGCCGCCACGGGAAAACAGAGGGUGCAAGCGUUAAUCGGAAUUACUGGGCGUAAAGCGCGCGUAGGUGGUUUGUUAAGUUGAAUGUGAAAUCCCCGGGCUCAACCUGGGAACUGCAUCCAAAACUGGCAAGCUAGAGUAGGGCAGAGGGUGGUGGAAUUUCCUGUGUAGCGGUGAAAUGCGUAGAUAUAGGAAGGAACACCAGUGGCGAAGGCGACCACCUGGGCUCAUACUGACACUGAGGUGCGAAAGCGUGGGGAGCAAACAGGAUUAGAUACCCCGGUAGUCCCUGUCUCUUAUAC